GGCCGGGGCGGGACCGGGCGCCGCGAGCCGGGCUGGAUCUCUCGCCUCUACCCGGAUUCUCCCUCGGCUCUCCCGGCCGAUUCGGUGCUGCUCGGCGACCACGUGACGCGGGCUGCCUUUGACCCCGGUCUCAGAGCGGCUAGCUUCCCAGAUCCUAAGCUGGGUUUCUCUAAAGCAGCAAGAGCAGGCCCUGUCCAGAAUAGACUCCGGCCACCUUCUUUUUCUCUCUGCAAACCUGCUGUUCAGCCUACAGACUCGGAUGGAUCCACAGCACCUCAUCCAGGAAACUUUGUUAUGCCCAGAGGCCUGCACAGGCCCUGGUCACGGUUUUAAUGAUUUUCUGUGGAUAGUGGGAUUUGUCAAGGAUAAUCCAAAUUUCAUGUCAUUUGCUUUUUAAAAAGAAAUUAAAGGUGAUUUGAUGAAUGUAUAACUACAUA